rnacentral:lncRNA from 1 species
GCACUGAGAAGGAUGUGCUUUAAAAUAUUGGAGGGACAGACCCUGACCAUGCGGGAUGAGCGUCGUCCCCUCUUUUGCUGUGUACAACGUCCAUACUGACCCGACCUCUGAGAUCAGCCCAAGCCCGUGGCCUCUGUGCUAACUUUGGGAACCGAGCCGACACUCAUAAAGUCUGUGAAUUAUUGAAUGGCUCCCUAGUAUUUAUAACAACUAGAAAUGGGAUAGAAUGUAGGUUUUCCUAUAGGAUCUGAUUUCUUCAGGAGAGACAACAAGGACUUUCCUCCUGCUGUUUUACACUGAAAUGGGUGUUUUCAAAGAACUUGAGAUUUUGUGGAAAGUGUUCUCUUUGGUUAUUUUUUUUUUCUUUAUAAGUCUUUUUUCCUACUGUGUAUUUGCUUGCAGGGAAAACAUGCAUUUCAUUUCGUAUUUAUUUCUCCAAUUGUUCAGCUGUUGAUUUAGCAGAAGGACAGGGGCCCCGGCCAGGGAGACGUCACUUCUGCUCGGGACAGACGUCCACGCUGGCUUUUCCCUGAAACCCACACAGGCCUACCGCAGGCGGAUGGGACACCGUGGCGGGCAUCAGAGCAGGCUUGCCACAGACUCUUCACCUGCAAGGAAGCUGCCAGGACGGGAGGUCAGGGAAGGUCGCCAGGGCCACACUGCUGGAGCGUCUGGGCCACUGGGUCCUGCCUUCCAGUCUCACCUUCGCUCCGGGUGACGGUGGCCUCCCCAGGCCCCGGCGACGUCCUCUCUGAAGCAGGAACGCAGGGCAGACGCUGGCUCUGCUGCCGGUUUUGAGGCGCCUGCAGGAGGCUUACUGAUUGACGCAGGACUGCCCACACCGUCCCAGCAGGAGGAACAGCGCUCCCCUCCUGGGUUCUGCUGGGAUGACGAAGGCACAGGCAUGAGGCGCCACCGCUCCAGCUGCAGACAGGACUGCGCCCGGGAGAUGCUCAACAUGAGGGUCACCCUCUCACAGUUUGGAUUCCGCCCUCACCAGACUCCGGUCUGUGAACUGAAGCUUCAGUCACUUUUGCAACGCGGAGUGUUCACCUCCUGAGACGAAGUUAUUCAACACUGCGACAUCAGCUGAGCGGGGACGCUGUUUAUAUUUAAAUGAAUGUUGUAACAGUUAUUUUUUGUGAUGCUCUUAUGAAACCCCCUCCCCCAGUCCUUUCAGAUUAAGGCUCGCAAUUAAACACAUAACCAUAAAAGAGAACCAGGAAACCGAAAUCCUGACAGCAGAAUGGAUUUCAAAAGUCAAAUAGAAGCCUGGGAGCUGUAGGUUUUAAUUAGCAUUUUAUGUUUGCAAAUUAAAUAUUGAAUGCUGUAUUAUUUUUCUUUCACUGCUCUCCCAUCUGUGAGGGGCGUAUCAGAAAUAGUGAAAUAGUGACUCUGAGGACAGUAAGAGGAAACUCCGCUAAUAAGGCAAACAUUCUCCUUUUAUUUCGGCACCAUCAGGGGCCUCUUCAAAGCCCCACUCGCUUUUCAUCUUGUGAAGGCUAAUUCCUAAAGGACUGGAAGAAGUCAGCAAGACACAGGGAUGAAAACCAGCAUUUAAGACAAAUUUCUACAAGGAAAAGGAAACACGAAGUAGGUUUAUGAGCCGUAUGUAGUUUCUGUUUGGUGGUGUGUAGACUGGAGAGUCACUGUCUUGCUGGAGACCCUGGUUGACCGUCAGGGAGUGACCUCUGCACCCAGGGCUUUCACAGGCAAGAGCACACCUGCACCUGCACCUGCCCCGUGGGCAGAGAGGGGACCUUCAGCUUGGGGGAGGGACAGGCAAGGCACAGGGGAUCCUGUCCCCUCCCUCAGACACAGGCUGCCCUGUGAGCAGGAGCCUCCCUUGGGGGCGGAGAGCAAACCCAUGGCCCUGAG